rnacentral:rRNA from 1 species
GACAGAGGGUGCAAACGUUUGUUCGGAAUUACUGGGCGUAAAGCGAGUGUAGGCGGUCUUGUAAGUCGGAUGUGAAAUCCCGAGGCUCAACUUCGGAAUUGCCUUUGAAACGGGAUCGCUUGAGUCCGAGAGAGGAUGGCGGAAUUCCUAGUGUAGAGGUGAAAUUCGUAGAUAUUAGGAAGAACACCGGUGGCGAAGGCGGCCAUCUGGCUCGGUACUGACGCUCAGGCGCGAAAGCGUGGGGAGCAAACAGG